UCUGGACUUUGGAGAUGAGCCCUACACAACAACGUGGUCUCUGAACAGCUACACCAGCCUGUGGAGCCCAGGCCUUCCCACCCGGAGGAACCGCUAUUCCUCAGGCGCAGCUUCAACAAACCCUCAGUAUUUUUUCAAAGUGCUAGAUCACAACCCAAAAACCUGUAAUGUAGCAAUUUCACUCAUGCAAAAAUACGCCGAGCAUGUGCACGAUGAAAAAAAACUGAAGAUUGGCUUUUUCAUCACCACGGAGAACUCCAAAGUUCUGAAGCAAAUCUUUCUCCGGAUUCGAGAUGUGACCAGCUACUUUAUCCUGAGCCCAGGAACCUAUGCCAUUGUUCCUGCUGCCACAGAGGACCAGGAAUUCAAAUUUCUCUUACGAAUUUUCAUAAAGAAUCAAGACUACCAUGAGUAAGAUCAUACACACUCCUUAAAGGCCCCAGACUCACAGUGGGCCAG
rnacentral:lncRNA from 1 species